rnacentral:rRNA from 1 species
AGUUCGAGCGUUACCGGAAUUAUUGGGUUUAAGGGUCCGCAGGCGGGCAAUUAAGUCAGGAGUGAAAUGGUGCGGCUCAACCGUAGCACUGCCCUUGCAUACUGGUUGUCUUGUAGUCAUAGUGAAGUGGCCGGAAUAUGUAGUGUAGCGGUGAAAUGCAUAGAUAUUACAUAGAACACCAAUUGCGAAGGCAGGUCACUAACUAUCGACUGACGCUGAUGGACGAAAGCGUGGGGAGCGAACGGGAUUAGAUACCCCGGUAGUCCACGCCGUAAACGAUGGAUACUAGCUGUCCGCUGCCUUGAGCAGUGGGCGGCCCAGCGAAAGUGAUAAGUAUCCCACCUGGGGAGUACGUUCGCAAGAAUGAAACUCAAAGGAAUUGACCGGGGGCCCGCACAAGCGGUGGAGCAUGUGGUUUAAUUCGAUGAUACGCGAGGAACCUUACCAGGGCUUAAAUGCAUAAUGACAGGUCUAGAGAUACACUUUUCUUCGGACAUUUUGCAAGGUGCUGCAUGGUUGUCGUCAGCUCGUGCCGUGAGGUGUCAGGUUAAGUCCUAUAACGAGCGCAACCCCUGCCGUCAGUUGCCAGCAAGUAAAGUUGGGGACUCUGACGGGACUGCCGGUGCAAACCGCGAGGAAGGUGGGGACGACGUCAAAUCAUCACGGCCCUUACGUCCUGGGCUACACACGUGCUACAAUGGCCGGUACAGCGAGCAGCCACUCCGCAAGGAGGAGCGAAUCUAUAAAACCGGUCACAGUUCGGAUCGGGGUCUGCAACUCGACCCCGUGAAGCUGGAAUCGCUAGUAAUCGGAUAUCAGCCAUGAUCCGGUGAAUACGUUACCCGGGCCUUGUACACACCGCCCGUACAAGCCAUGGAAGCCGGGAGUGCCUGAAGUCCGUCACCGUAAGGAGCGGCGUAGGGCAAAAUCG